GUCCAGAUGGCUCAAUGGUCAGGAGCUUGGAAUUCUUAAGAGUCAGUUAUUUAAUGAACUGUGAGAGGGUGUGGGUUCGAAUCCCGCUCUGGCCA